rnacentral:ncRNA from 1 species
AUAUUGUCCUUACCUGUUAAGUGAAUCACUUGAUAGUGUUCAGUCAGAGUAUCUAUAUGCUCCCAAAUAAAUUCAUUAAUUUUUUUAGAACCUAAAGAGCCACCCAUAAUCAUGAGCACUUGUUUUUUAGCUGAAAAAAGUGUCAGUUUA